rnacentral:rRNA from 1 species
GCGUGCCUAAUACAUGCAAGUCGAGCGGACAGAUGGGAGCUUGCUCCCUGAUGUGAGCGGCGGACGGGUGAGUAACACGUUGGGUAACCUGCCUGUAAGACUGGGAUAACUCCGGGAAACCGGGGCUAAUACCGGAUGGCUUGUUUGAACCGCAUGGUUCAGACAUAAAAGGUGGCUUCGGCUACCACUUACAGAUGGACCCGCGGCGCAUUAGCUAGUUGGUGAGGUAACGGCUCACCAAGGCAACGAUGCGUAGCCGACCUGAGAGGGUGAUCGGCCACACUGGGACUGAGACACGGCCCAGACUCCUACGGGAGGCAGCAGUAGGGAAUCUUCCGCAAUGGACGAAAGUCUGACGGAGCAACGCCGCGUGAGUGAUGAAGGUUUUCGGAUCGUAAAGCUCUGUUGUUAGGGAAGAACAAGUGCCGUUCAAAUAGGGCGGCACCUUGACGGUACCUAACCAGAAAGCCACGGCUAACUACGUGCCAGCAGCCGCGGUAAUACGUAAGUGGCAGCGUUGUCCGGAUUAUUGGGCUAAAGGGCUCGCAGGCGGGUUCUUAGUUUGAUGUGAAA